rnacentral:rRNA from 1 species
UACGUAGGGUGCAAGCGUUAAUCGGAAUUACUGGGCGUAAAGCGUGCGCAGGCGGCUUUGCAAGACAGAUGUGAAAUCCCCGGGCUUAACCUGGGAACUGCAUUUGUGACUGCAUGGCUGGAGUGCGGCAGAGGGGGAUGGAAUUCCGCGUGUAGCAGUGAAAUGCGUAGAUAUGCGGAGGAACACCGAUGGCGAAGGCAAUCCCCUGGGCCUGCACUGACGCUCAUGCACGAAAGCGUGGGGAGCGAAACAAGGAUUGAGAAACCCUUAC